rnacentral:rRNA from 1 species
GAUGAACGCUGGCGGCGUGCCUAAUACAUGCAAGUCGAGCGAACGGACGAGAAGCUUGCUUCUCUGAUGUUAGCGGCGGACGGGUGAGUAACACGUGGAUAACCUACCUAUAAGACUGGGAUAACUUCGGGAAACCGGAGCUAAUACCGGAUGAUAUUUUGAACCGCAUGGUUCAAAAGUGAAAGACGGUCUUGCUGUCACUUAUAGAUGGAUCCGCGCUGCAUUAGCUAGUUGGUAAGGUAACGGCUUACCAAGGCAACGAUGCAUAGCCGACCUGAGAGGGUGAUCGGCCACACUGGAACUGAGACACGGUCCAGACUCCUACGGGAGGCAGCAGUAGGGAAUCUUCCGCAAUGGGCGAAAGCCUGACGGAGCAACGGCGCGUGAGUGAUGAAGGUCUUCGGAUCGUAAAACUCUGUUAUUAGGGAAGAACAUAUGUGUAAGUAACUGUGCACAUCUUGACGGUACCUAAUCAGAAAGCCACGGCUAACUACGUG